ACACACGCAAGUCGAACGGCAGCACGGGAGCAAUCCUGGUGGCGAGUGGCGAACGGGUGAGUAAUACAUCGGNACGUGCCCUGUCGUGGGGGAUAACUAGUCGAAAGAUUAGCUAAUACCGCAUACGACCUGAGGGUGAAAGCGGGGGACCGUAAGGCCUCGCGCGAUAGGAGCGGCCGAUGUCUGAUUAGCUAGUUGGUGGGGUAAAGGCCCACCAAGGCGACGAUCAGUAGCUGGUCUGAGAGGACGAUCAGCCACACUGGGACUGAGACACGGCCCAGACUCCUACGGGAGGCAGCAGUGGGGAAUUUUGGACAAUGGGGGCAACCCUGAUCCAGCAAUGCCGCGUGUGUGAAGAAGGCCUUCGGGUUGUAAAGCACUUUUGUCCGGAAAGAAAUCCCUUGCCCUAAUACGGCGGGGGGAUGACGGUACCGGAAGAAUAAGCACCGGCUAACUACGUGCCAGCAGCCGCGGUAAUACGUAGGGUGCGAGCGUUAAUCGGAAUUACUGGGCCGUAAAGCGUGCCCAGGCGGUUUUGUAAGACAAGGCGUGAAAUCCCCG
rnacentral:rRNA from 1 species